rnacentral:rRNA from 1 species
UACGUAGGGUGCGAGCGUUGUCCGGAAUUAUUGGGCGUAAAGAGCUCGUAGGCGGUGUGUCACGUCGGCCGUGAAAACCUGCAGCUUAACUGUGGGCGUGCGGGCGAUACGGGCAGACUGGAGUACUGCAGGGGAGACUGGAAUUCCUGGUGUAGCGGUGGAAUGCGCAGAUAUCAGGAGGAACACCGGUGGCGAAGGCGGGUCUCUGGGCAGUAACUGACGCUGAGGAGCGAAAGCGUGGGGGAGCGAACAGG